GAUCAAGAUCAGGAUGAUUGUGAUGUGAUGAUUGAGCCUGCCGCUGCCCUCAGGGGUCUCUAUGCGAUGAUGGUCUCAUGGUGUGACCAAUUCCUUGAUAUUGAUAUUGAGGAGGGAGGGGAUAGAUCCGUUCCUCCCUUGUUGAUGAUCCACUUUCCCCGUCUUUUUGAGAGAGCAUGGGGAAAUAAUCGCCUAUAUCCUCAAGCUUUAGAUGACUGGUGUCCGUAUCGUGCAUACCUCCAGAAGUUCUGCGAUCAUAAUGCUCCUCGUUAUCAUGAUCCCGAUGCCUACAAGUUGUGUAUGGAUCAAGAAAUUAAAUUGAAGUCUGAGUGGCUGUACAAGCACACCCUUGUCCCCCAUGAUGAGAUCAGUCUGAGUGACGAUAUCCAAAACUGCGCUUAUGAACUUAUCU